rnacentral:rRNA from 1 species
AGGACGAACGCUGGCGGCGUGCUUAACACAUGCAAGUCGAACGGAAAGGCCCUUUCGGGGGUACUCGAGUGGCGAACGGGUGAGUAACACGUGGGUGAUCUGCCCUGCACUUUGGGAUAAGCCUGGGAAACUGGGUCUAAUACCGAAUACACCUUGCUGGCUGCAUGGCCUGGUGGGGGAAAGCUUUUGCGGUGUGGGAUGGGCCCGCGGCCUAUCAGCUUGUUGGUGGGGUGAUGGCCUACCAAGGCGACGACGGGUAGCCGGCCUGAGAGGGUGUCCGGGCCACGACUGGGACUGAGAUACGGCCCAGACUCCUACGGGAGGCAGCAGUGGGGAAUAUUGCACAAUGGGCGCAAGCCUGAUGCAGCGACGCCGCGUGAGGGAUGACGGCCUUCGGGUUGUAAACCUCUUUCAGUAUCGACGAAGCGCAAGUGACGGUAGGUACAGAAGAGCACCGGCAACUACGUGCCAGCAGCCGC